AUACAGCCUGGAAACAAAUGGUGGGGAGGGUUUCCCGUAAAUUUGGACAUCUCCAGAUUAAGACCUCCGCCGAAUCCGUGAGGCUUUCCCUCUCCAAGGAGCUCCUAAGUAGAGAAUUUCCCAGUAAAAUCGCCUCAACUGCGGUAAAUAGGCUGUUCCCCGCGCCAGCAUUUGAGAAGAGCUGGUCCCCAGAGUGUACAGGAGUUGGGAUGUUGGCAGGAGGAAGGGUGUGUCGCCGGAUGAGGAAGAGAAAGAAUAGGGAAAUUUGGAUGCAGAGACACAGAGAAAAUGCCAUGUCAAGAUGGAUCAAAGACUGAAGUGAUGCGGCUGCAAGCCGAGGAAUGUGAAGAAUGGCCAGCCACCACCGGAAGCUAGGGGAGACGCCAGCACAGAUUCUCCCUGAGAGUAUCCAGAAGAAACCAACCCUCCAACACCUGGAUUUCAGACUUCUGACCUUGAGAAGUGUGAGCCAAUAAAACAACUGCAGUGG
rnacentral:antisense_RNA from 1 species